rnacentral:tRNA from 1 species
GCCGAAAUAGCUCAGUUGGGAGAGCGUUAGACUGAAGAUCUAAAUGUCCCCGUUCAAUCCCGGGUUUCGGCA